rnacentral:rRNA from 1 species
UACGUAGGGUGCAAGCGUUGUCCGGAAUUAUUGGGCGUAAAGAGCUCGUAGGCGGUUUGUCGCGUCGAAUGUGAAAUCUCGGGGCUCAACUCCGAGCUUGCAUUCGAUACGGGCAGGCUAGAGUUCGGUAGGGGAGACUGGAAUUCCUGGUGUAGCGGUGAAAUGCGCAGAUAUCAGGAGGAACACCGGUGGCGAAGGCGGGUCUCUGGGCCGAUACUGACGCUGAGGAGCGAAAGCGUGGGGAGCGAACAGG